AACUUCUCCUUGGAAGUCUACAUUCACUAAAUACUAAGAGAGAUGUCCUAAUUCAUGGGUGUGAUUGAUACCUAUUCAAAUUCUCCCUAGACACAAAGAAAGAAAGUGAGAACUCAUUUUACGUACGUUUUUCUCUGAACGGAUAAUUUCAGUGUGAUCCACACCCCAACGGGAUUAUCCCACUUUCUAUACGAGAAAAGAGUGGUAUCAGAGAAUCCCAGAAAGUUCAAGCCAUAAAAAAAGUUCAGACGCUUCUUUUUUAGACAAAGACAAAGAAAAAAAUCGAGCUGAGAUAAUUCUUUGAGCGCUCCGACGGAGCAAAGACGUCCAAGAGAAAUCAAGCGGAAGAUGAGUCUUUAUCCAUAUUCAAUUCCUUGCCGUAGGGUCCACAAUAUCCUUGUCUUAUGGAGCCUUGCCGUAGGUGCUUUCCUUUAUUUGAAAGAUUAUUCAAUCUAUUAGAUGGGGAAGGGAAGCUUAAUUCAGAGCUGACUUUCAUACGAAAGGCUGAAUGAAUUGAGAGGAUCAAUGAAAUAAAGCUAGGUUAAUACGGAUAGUCACCUGGACCUUUCUUUGACGGUUCAAAGAAUAUUGCGACUGAAUUUCAUUCUUAUGUUCCUGCUUUCGAUUUAUGGAACUCAUCCGCUUUAUCCAUAUUAACCUCUCGCUUCCGAAUCAGGCAGGUGUCGAGCUUACGAUUGAGCGCCGCUGCCUAUUGAUGGAGGGCUAACUUUUAUCGUUCACUGUCUGAUGUGGAGUAGUUAGACAGUUUGGCAUGGAAUGCUUCCACUUCUUCUCGUGAAUCUCAUAUACAAUAGAAAGAAUAAUCGCAAAGCAUAACGGAUGAGGCAUUCACCCACUUCAACAACCGGAAGAACUUAUGCUACUGAGCGAAGAACUUCAACUUAUGAAACUGCUUAAACAAGGCGCUUCUAAUGGAUAGUCCGGAGGACUGGAAGAUUUUCACUGGGGGAUAUUCUUUUGUUUGCGUGAGUUGCGUGAGAAAUUAUCUUCUAAAUCAGAAUUAAGGGGCUUGGCUCGAAAGGUUUACUAGAGCAAGGGUUGAUCGAGCUUCCCGAACCUAAGAAAGCAGCCCACUACGCGGUGGGACGAGUAGGAGAUCCCAAAGACUGCUAAUUCCAUCGGGUUAAUAGUCAUCCGAUAGACGAUUGUUGGGUUCAACAAGAAAAGAUCCAAAAGUUCUUAAAUGAUGGUGUCAUUGAAAUAGACCGUCCUAAGCAACCUGUGGUCACCUCCAAUCCGGUAUUUGUAAUAGUUGGAUUCUUUGCCCGAUAGCUGAGAUCUCGCCAAGCAUAGCCUAUUCUAGUUCUAGCACCGGAAGAGCAAUUGAAGAGGAAAAAAAUCUUGAUUCAAGAUAUUAAAGAAGAAUGGAGCACUCGUCUUAGCCGAAGGAGUAGGAAGCGCCAACGACGAUUGAGACCGCCUAGCACUGUACAAGACGAAGGUAUUCAAGGAACUCUCUGAUGCAUCUUCAUUAUAUCAAUUUUUGCAUCGGGAUUGGGUUAACUAACUUGAUGGAAUCACAUCACUGCAACUAAGCAUUGAUGGCUGAAAGCAUCUGUUUUGGGUGUCAGCCGUUACAGCAAAAUCAUCGGUGCAUAAGGCUAUCUUUAGCGGUUCGUAGUGACCCAUUUUCCAGCGAAAGAGCAAGCAACCUCUUAUGUAGGAGAAUCCAUCGCUUUGUCAUGCAUAUCAGUUGUCAAACCUAUAUUCUUGCGACAUCGACUAUGUUCGCCCAUCGCAUCGACGGACUCGGCUUCGUCCUAGAACAUCGUUAAUGAGCUUAUUUUGACACUGCUUAGAUUCGAAUUGGUUCGGAAGAGAGGAUCGUCAUCAGUUUAAGACCUUUCGGCCUUGAGAACAUCGACUCAUCUCAAGGUAGUGGUCGGCCUUCCUACAAACCGCUAUCACUUUGGAAAACCGUCUUUCCUCAUUUCAGUCAUCAUUUUGAGCACAUUUUAAUGAAUCUUUACAUCGCUCUCAGGCUUUCGCGCAAGAAAAAUCGCCAUAUAUGUUCGCCCGUCGCUAGCAAAGAAUUCUUUCGGAGGCCGCCGCCGAGAGACAACCUAUCUAUUCAAUUCCUCUUUUUCGUGGACAAGCCUCUUCUAUUCCAGAAAGCAGCAAUAACCGGCCAGCGGUAGACACCGCCCGUCACAAACACGUGAACGAGAGAGCAUCUCAUCUUUUCAUAGAAAUGUGCGGUAAGCAAGGCAUCUGCUUUUGCUGAUCAAAACUGCUUUUUUUUGUUCCCAAGGAGUGCUAUUCGAACCUAGCCCAGUCUUGUAAGACCUUCUGUUAUGAGUGAGCAUCGGCCCCGGGAAUCCCUUGCUUUUGGCUACGGUCUUUUUUUCCCUCUAAACUAAUAAUGAACAAAGACUACUGGAACGGCACGACAGCAAUACCACGACAGAUAUACUUACCGACAAGAGAGAGCGAGACUGACCCACCUAAGAGAGAGAACGCAAGAUUGACUCCCCCCUAUCAUUUGUUGGCCGGAAGAAAGUUUUGAUUUCCCACGGGGGACUAGAGGAGCAUUUUAGGAAUCCCACGGAGCGGUAUCGCUUGUGAUAAGGAUUCAGUCUCAUUCAUAUAGUAAUGCCCUUAGCUUGCGCCCUAUUUGAGACUGAGACUAAGAUAUAUAUGGAAUAGUCCUUCGGACCUGUCCUAGCACCUUUCUAAAAUCCCUAGCUCUCUUCCUUAGUGCAACUGCCCUAUUCCUAUCAUGGGAAUAUCUAUCUUUCUUUCUUGUGUCAUAUCUAUAGUUUCUUUUCUCAAAGCGGACGGUAUCGUAUAUUCAUCAAGAGAUUGUUGACGUUAGUAGACUAAUCUAUGAAUUGGUAGGGCAUUUCUUCCUGUGACCGCCUUUCCUACCACUAACCCAAGCCAAUCCGGGUUUUUUCUAAACUAAACCUUCGGGAUUUUUUUAGGAUGAAUACAUGCAUUGAUCCAGUCGAAGAACCUGCUCCAGAGCUACUACUCUGUCUAGUCUAUCUUCCUGCCCGCCCCGGGUUCGCAUCCAUUGCCUGGCCUAUGAUACGAAUUGGAUGAUCGGGAACUGCCGUAGUUGGUGAAUAACGCUAUCGCGAGCUAGAAAAAAAGAAAUCUUGGGAAUUCGCUCUUUGGUAUUCGAUAACCCCCACUACGCGGUGUAGGCGCUUUACCGUGUUGGAGAGAAAGAGAAGAAGGAAGGAGUGAAGUAAACAUCUAAAGUUCAAAAGUCAACCUUAUAAGCUUCUUAUAGUGUGCAAGACCAAUAAGGGUUGUCAGUUAGACUUCCUCUGAGCACGCAACAAGCUGUCCAGAGUGACGGUUAGCGGUACUCCGUCCAAAGAGUCAGAAUAGUAGCUAUCGCCCUAGUUAGUCGUUCAGAGCGAGGACGACCAGCACAACCCCUUUUCUGCUACUAUCAUAGGAGCCGUCUUAAGCAUAGGCGCUGAGAACACCCUUCUUUGGCGAUGCCCAAGAUCGCAAUGGAUUCCACCGCGACUUUGAUUAUAUUAUACGAUAGCGGUCUAUGAGUCUUUGGCGUACCUACUUGAUAGAGCUAGGACCGUCACGGUCAACUUUCUUGUUCUUUUUCUCUCGCUAUGCUUUGCAACUUUCAAAAAAGAUUGUACGAGCUCCAGCAAAAAUCAAGCUCUGGAUGUGCAAUGAGGUAGUCCGGCAAUAUUCUUUGCACCUUGCACUCCUCUCACGCAAACCCGCAAUAUUCUGCAUUGAGCCUUGGCACCUGUCCUCCGGACUAUCCAUUAGAAGCGCCUCUUGUCGAGUAAGAAAGGUUCGGUAAAACUCUCGGGGAUGGAUCGACUGAUAAGGAAUCCCUCGUCGCAGUGGCAGGAGUGUGCUGUACUCUUUCAUAAAGAUCAGUCGGGACCUGGGCGUCGGCCUGUGCACUCUAUUUCUUAAUCAAUUGAUGUAUUCCGCAAGACAAUGAAUACGUGGAAGUCAAGAAAAUCAGCUCAUUAACGAUAAUGAAAGAAGCUCAAAAUGGGAAUUCAAAAGAAAGAGGGAGAUUUCAGAGCUAGAUUGAAGAUGAAUCCGCGGAGGGAAAUACAUGAUUUUGCUAGGUUUUGCCCAUAGGGAAGUAGCAAGAAAUCAUGAAAAAUCAGUCAUUUUUGAUCUAUUUUCGUUAGAUAAGAAAAGUCGAAAAAGUCCUAUUUAGAAGCAAAAAAGCCGGGAAAUAGCAAUGAAAGAAUCAUAAAGGGAUAAGAAAUUCACAUAGUUUGUUCAAACUUCUAGUUUCUGGUCCGGAGAAAUACGGGUCUAUUCUUUAUUUCACUCCAGGUUAUUCAAUCAUAAGGAUUCUUGAAUUCGAGUUAAUGAGCCCGUAGUUAGGAGUAUUAAGACCGGUCCUACGUCCAUUUAUCCUCCGGACUAUCCGUAAUUAACCGAACUUUGCACCUCCGGAUAGGAAAAAAGUGACUAAAAAGGAGCUCAAGUCAACGCAUAUUGAAUUGCACCUCUUCUCUCCCUUUCUUUUUGCUUCGCACCUCUUGCGAGUCGAGUUUCUUCUCACCGCGUAGUGGGGCGGAUCCCACGGAGCGGUUCAAACUGAAAUUGAAAGAUUUGAAUCAAGGGAAUCUGGAUCUGUACCGUCGAUCCUGUUAUGAGAAGAAUGAAAGCAUAUAAUCGUAUCCUCUCGGCAGCUUCUUGAUCUUCCUCUUCUGGGCCUGCUACAUCGUUCCGACCCUUGCUUUGCUUCUUAAUACGGUCGAAGGGUAUUACAAGCGCUCGACCUACUUCAGAGUCUUUUCGAGAAUGGGAGUCAAUAAAUAAUGAAUCCAGUUUCCAGGUUCAAGGCCCCACGUAGGGGGAAGAGAUCUAGCUGAAAGAGCUGCUACAACUAAAGCAAGGACUGCUGGAACAAGAACUGCUACUGCCUCCGAUUCCCCCUACCUAAACUGAGAUUCUUCUUCUUCGAAUUCAACUGAUUUAUCUAACUGCUUCGGAUCCACGGAGUGCAAUAUUGAAGAAUUUAUUAGAAAGAAAGAAGCAUCUCGACUCUUCCAAUCCAUCUUGAUUGUAUAGGUUUCAUGAGAGGGGAAUAACUACGAAUGGGAACUUCCAGUUUUUGAAGUAGGAUCACUAGAGGCAGAUUUUCGGGCGGGGAGGCAGUCCCAGUUGAAUGAUCAGUUUCGGAAGUUGCCCACUCCGCGGUUCAAAGAAUAUUGACAGUCGCUUUAGUUCUUGCAGCAGAAGUAGCUGUCGUAGCUCGUCUUCCUCUUUCAUCAGUGGCUCUUUCUGUAUCGGUUGAAGAACUAUAGAUAGGCCCAGUUUAGCAGAGCUUCACCAUAGGGUCUUUCGUCGGAUUCUGACUAGUGAUGCUGCACUUGUAUUCCCCAUACUCGGAUCGUAGCGGGCAAUCAUCUCUCAGUCGAUAAAGGCUCGACGCACCCAUCUUGUAGUUGCGGUUCUUUCUCUUGGUGAUAAGAGUGAUAAGGCGAAUCAAGUGGCAUUUAACUCUUUCUUUACGCCUUCUUUCUUUCUACUUUCUACCAGUCCUUUUUAGAGUCCUUCGGACGUCCUCAGUCCUAUCCAUUAGAGAAUUUGAGUUGCGGCUAUUCUAAAAAGGUAUAAGGUUGCCUAUAUUUCAUUCCCGAUUGAACAAGGACAGAGCCUUAUGCGGAAGACAUUGGUGGUGGGACAACUGAAAGGGCGGAUGCCUCAACCGCAGAGUGGGAGUCUCACCUUUCUCUUCUUAUGUUGGGAGUUUUUGUCCCAUAAAAAAGAAUAUACCUUUUCAUCAAUCCGUAGUUCAUCCUACUCAUCAUCAUAUACUAUAGAAAAUCAGAGCUUCUAAAGCAGAACGGAUGAGGCAGGAGAGACUGAAACGAGAACAAGAAAAGCCACUUCCUCAACAGAACAAGUGAGAGCCACGGCCUCUGGUCGAACAGCCUCUUAAGUGGGUCGCUCCUUUCUCUCUCGCUUUAUUUAGCUCGACUCAAUUACAUUGAUCCGAUCCUGCUCAAGAAAUAAUCAGAGUGUUGAAGACCGUCCUUCAGCAUAAUCUAAUAGGAUCAAAGUAUUUGAGCUUUGCGCCUAGCCUUCGGACGGAAGAAAAACAAAGGUCUAUAUGAACUACAUCGCAAUAUUCUUUGCACCUCACGCAAUGAUCUUUGCUCCUCCUUCUACGCUCUCCAUGGGCUCGACUGAGAUGGACGGAGGCUAAGACAGGGAUAUUGAUGAUUGAUUGACUGGUCCGAAGGACUAUCCAUCAGGGAGGCUCAAAGCAAGCCCACUACACGGGAAGAAUGGAUAUUGUAGACCGCGGGGGAGGGGUCAAAGAAUUUGAGAAGAAGCGAAGAAAGCCCUCACUGAGCGAAGCCCACGUAGCGGUAUGAAAGAGUAUGAAAUGACUAUGCGAGCGUACAGAUCCCCAUAUUCAUUAGGCGAAGGACUUAUUUAUUGAACUGAAACUGACUGAACUUUCCUUUCACCUCUCCUUCUCUUUCUACACUCGAAGAGCUGAGCUCCAGAUCCAAUGCUGAUGGCAAGGCUUGAGCACUACGAAUGAGCUCUGGCGUCCGGAAACUCACUCAUUCAAAAAAAAAGAUGAGAUCGAUUCAUUGCACUUCCUUCUUGACUUCCGCGUAGUGGGCCCUCCCUCUCCUGAGAAUGAAAGCGAGAGGGUUCGGAUGUAGUCCGAAUCGAGAAAAUACUGAGUUUAGGCCCCUUCUCGAGUGAAGUAUAUUGGGUCCUCCUUUCUUCAACUCCAGGAUCUCAUACCGAUGCCUUCAAUCAAUGGCCCGGCCAGGGGAGUUCAUUAAAGAGUUCGAGUCCACUCUCUCUACUUAAAUUGAGAUUUGGGAAAUCCAUGAUUUAGUAGGAAAAAGACUUACUUGAGCAAGAGCAUUCCUCAUCCUAAACCUCGACUCAUUGAAUUCCACUAAGAAGGAUGAUGUUGGGAUCUUCCCUUUGUCCCUGGUCUAUUCCCCUUUCGAGCUUCCUCCACCUUCCACUCUCCUUAUCAGUAGCAAGAUCAGCAGCAAGGGCGAGCCCUAUCUAUCUGAUUAUCCUUUUCGGAGACUUCCCUUCGCAAGAGAUCAUAUCUGGGACUACGGAGAAUUCUCCUCCUUCCCAAUGAAAGAAAAAGUAUGACUCUUCCCUGGUCGAGACUGAUAACCUAGUCCUAUGGAGCCCCACUCUUCUUUCUUCUCUUUCUUCGUAGUAAAUACCUUGAUUCUAUACAGAAUAAGAUAACUCCUUUCGUAUUCAUACCUCGUCUACAUUAAUAGUGAGCGCUGACUCCUCGGGUAAGCCGUUGAGAUCCGGAAGGAUUGAUCCUACUUAUUCAAAUUCAUUCCGAGGCCACUGACUGACUAAUUCUUCUAGCUUUACUCAAGCGAAGAGAAUCGCUUCCGAUUCAUCAUUAUUACAGAGAUGCUAAAUUCAAUGACUGAGAAAACCCAGCCUAUAUCUAACCGAUGUCAGUGACUCACUCUUAUGCUAUGCAUUCAAUGCCCUAAAAGCACCUCUAUCCUGAAAUCUCUCGACUUUCAUCCUAUUUUCCGGUAUGGACGCGAAGCUCCUCUUCCGAUCCUGGGUGGAGCAUAAAAGGACCUCCCCCUCAACUCUUAAGGAAUCAGACUCCUUCUCAUGAAAGAAAGACUUCUUCCGACCCUCUCCCGAAACAAGAGCAUUCUAAACUUCUACAUCGCGGAGAUAGAGGACUUCGAAUAUGAAUUCAGCCUCCUACUACCUUGUCUUUCUUCUUUCUAUAUUCUUGAACUCAUUGAUAAGGACAUAUUCACUUGCAUCCGAAUCCGAGAAGAAGUCAAGCCCACUGGUCUCGCCUUUGUCCUCUCCCACUAAUUAAGGUCGUCGAGCGGACUCUGAUGAAAGGCAAUUCCCCGAUCCUACUUAGUUAUAGCUGGGUUCUAACCUUUAUAGCUGGAGGACUACUUGGUCUAGCUGCUUGGGUAAGCCCUUUCUAUCCUAUUAGGUCUCGAAGCUUCCUUUGUUCCGAUCCAAGUGCCAUAGUUCCGAUCAGAGUCAACUCGGUCCUUGCUUCCUAUUGGUGCUUUAUAAUAUAAGUCGAGUCGUAUGAUAACCUCUAACUCUUGCUUCGGCAACAUCUCAUUCCCUGUCUCCUGAGAACAGUUAUUCAGUAAUGGAAUAAGAGAGUUUCAUACCGCUACGUGGGACUGAUGGAUUCCAUGGAACAAGAGUCACAGCCGCACUCAAUCAGUGACGUCGUAUGAUAACCUCUAACUCUUGCUUCUGAGAAUACUUAUCGCUUCCAACGGAACUUAGUCCUACGAACUGAAAGAUCCCCUUACAAGCUCAGCUACUCACUGUAGAGCAUACUAACUGCCCGCAGCACCCUCCUCUUCCCCCCGCCGAGAGGGCUUCCUAUGGAGGUGGUUAUGCUUCUUCGCAUACGAUCCCUAUCAAGUCAAGCUCCUUCUUCCACUCCCACUAGGUUUCUUCAUACAAUUCCCGCUCCGUGGGAGUUCUAGCUGCCGAGAGAAGAGUUACCUGUCUGCGUCCCCGCUCCGUGGGCUUCUUAGUCUCUGACCUUGAUUCCAGGACAAAUAACUAUUCUCCUUCCUCGGUAAAUCGGGAAAGCUGAUAAGGGCAACUUCGUCUUACCUUGAAAAAGUAGUUAUUCCCUGAACACUCGUCUUCUCGGGCGGCUUCUUAUAACAUAACCUUCCACUCGGGACACCCGUACCUAACCCUAUGAUUCAGAUGAAUGAGAUCGCACGUCUUUGAGUACUUCCCGCCGAUGAAUUGGGAUUUCUUUCUCAUAAUAGAUAAAGAAAAGAGAUGCAUGCUACUUAAAUGAGAGAUUCAGACCUCUGAAGAAGACCUAUCCUGGGGAAGUCUCGCCCUUUCUCCUCUCGCUUUGUUCGAGCAUAUUUCCUCUUUCUUCCACUCGAAAUCCAUAUAUAUCCUACCAGCCCGCAACCCUUGUUUCGUUACUGACUCUAAUUCUAUUCAUUGAAUACCGUAAAUAAGUAGAUAGAAGAAUAGUUCUUGCAAUGGUAAAGCUCCUAACCCCGAUCAGGAAACCCAUGAAAGAGCAGACUCAACGGAUAAGUCUUCAUCAACCCUAUCUGGGAAAAGGCAAGUCUGAUCCCGGUCCUUUGUCUCCAUUCUGAGAUUCCGAGUUGAACAGGGCGUGAACCUUCCCAUAAUUCAAAGUAUGAAAUAGACUUUUCAUCUUUUCUAAUCCGGAAUGCGGAGUAGGAGGGAUCUCAACAAGAUAGACAUCUUUAUCCCAGGAUUUCUCCUUUCAAGCCUUUCCUUUCAUAAUCGUUCUUUAUAUAAGGGGUUGGGACUCAAUAAAUCCAGUAAGAAGGCAGGGAGAUCUAGCAAGAGCAGACUCUUGUUCAACGACAGCUAGAACGAAAGCUAGGAGAUAAACUGAUUAUUCUGAAAGAACCUCUCCUCUUCCUCUGGUCGAGACGUGCCGGCUCUUCCUCUUGAGAAUUCCUGCGUAUCGUUCAGUUACUCGUAUUGUAGGUGGAGCUCCAUAACGUUCUAGCCUCUCGCUGUGGAAUAGUAGUUAUCCCAGGAAGACAAUCCACAGUGAAAAAAGUAGAUCUGAAGCCACUGAUAGGCGGCCUUUCUAUCUUAUGCAUGAGCUGAUGGGUCUGUCUGUCCGCAGCUGUGAAUUCUAGCAAGAAAGCUAUGUCUCUUUCGUGACAAGCACUCGGAUAUUCUUUCUCUUUCUCUGACGCUUGGAGUGAUGACCUCAUAAGACCGAACCCUAUUGCUGCUUUGCACCUGGCCGGUCGAUCUGACUAACUAAGUUCUUAAAUGGCACAGCUCUCUCACAUAUGAAUACCUUUACUGUCGAGCUAGGGUUUCUCCUAUUUCAUACCGCUACGUGGGUGACUCCCGAUCCUCUCAGUCUCGGUCUCCUUUUCCCGGGUUGAAGGAAGCCUUUCUUUACGUCAAUAUUCUUUUCACCUUAUUUAUUCAAUAUGAUUCAAAUAUUUCUAGUCCUUCGCGGAGGGAAAUACAAGAUUUUGCUAGGUUUUGCCCAUAGGGAAGUAGCAAGAAAUCAUGAAAAAUCAGUCAAAAUUAGACAAUUAUCGUUAUUUAGAGAAAACCGAGAAAGUAUGAAAAAGAAGCAAAAAAGCCGGGAAAUUGCAAGGCAUUGUCCUAUUUGAUUUUCGAAAUUCACAUAGUUUGUGAAAACUUUUCUAAUGGAUAGUCCGGAGGACGGAGAAAUACGGGUCUAUUCUUCUCAAUAUUCUUUGACCCUCCAGGUUAUUCAAUCCUAAUGAUUCUUUCAUUCGAGUGAAUGAGUGAAUUAUUCUUGAAUUCGAGUUAAUGAGCUGAUUUUCUUUGAUUGACUUUGAACAGGUCCUUCGGCUAGGCGCAAAGUUCUAAUGGAUAGUCCUACGGACUCCGGACGGGGGAACCGAAGGCGCAAAGAAUAUUGCCCAUAUUGCCUCUCGUCUUAUUCCACUACUUAAGAAAAGCAAAGAAUAUUGCGAUGAAUCAUAUUUGAAAGGCGGUCGAUGAGCAAAGAAUUUGCACGGAGGCGCAAUGAAAUAUGCGAUUGAGAGUAGGUGCUUUUUCUGAGGGGUGAGGGGUAAAUCAAGAGGUCGUAUUGGUCGUGGAGCAGGCCACGAGGAAGGGUUACGGUUCGACUUCAAUCAAUUCGGAGAUUGAGAAUAAUCUAAGAGAAGGUUGCCAGUGAGGUGGUUCAUGUGAGAGAGGAAGAUAGCCACUGAAUAAGGAUAAUCAUCUUUCUUCUGCAUAAGCUUGUUAAGAUGACAACUGGAUAAGCUGCAUCAUAAGAUAAGCUUUCCACGGAUUCAAAGGGCUAGUAGGCCCCAUGGCAUGUAGACCUCGCUCCAGCCUUUGCCUCAGACAUUCUUCUUCAGUCGAGCUAUUUCAUAACCUAGGCUUUCUCUUUGGACGGAGGCUGAAUUCAUUGAGAGAACUUAUCCUAUUUUAUGUCUUUUAUUGAGGCUAGGGCAACUAUUUCUCAAAAAUACAAAAGAUGUAAAAGCUCGGGGAGUCAGACGAAGGAUUAAUCUCUGCACAAUAAGGAAGAGAGCAGAAUCAAUGAACAUCCAUAAAAGAAAUUAGGGGCUGCUGCUUAUCCAGUUGUCAAUACAGCUUCGGGCUUGAAAGCAUUGAGGCAGGCAUAAGCCGGCCCAUCAACCUAGCCCCUCUUAUGAGAAUAAGGCACAUAAGGCGCAAAGAAUAUUGCGGAAAAGAAUAUUGAAAAUGAAAACAUCCGUCAAAAUUAGGGUUGUGAACUAAUCUUAGAGCACUCAAAAAAAGUACCAUACCUUGGGCGGAUAGCGGGAAUCGAAGGAUUGCGGGCAGGACAAUGAAAACUGACUAACCCCCUGUACCCUCACCUCAUUACUCUGAGGAAUUGCUUGAACUGCUAGUGAGAGAUGGAAUCGAAGCAGUAGAAAAUGGUAAAGGAAGGACCGCUACGUGGGCAUCUGGAAGUCAUCUUCACCCUUGUUUUUGGUCAGGUAUAACUAUUGAACUCGGGGCUGAUUACUCUACUCUACUGCCUUAGCUAGAGGUCGAUCGGCCCAAAACCAUACUCUAUUUCAUCCGUGGAUUCCUAAGUCUCUAUACUCUAUUCUAUAUACGCAAAUCCUUCCUUUCCUCGCUGGAAUUGAAACCUAAAAGAAAUACGAAUUGAAUUUUGAUGGGACGUGGAAUAGGUCAAGGUUGAGGGUAGAGUUACCGCUACGUGGGCUGCUCCAGGGAAGACCCCGGACGGAAAGAGAGAUAGAAAGAGAGUUCGAUCCGAAACAUAAGAACGAAAGAAGAAAGGAUUAAGGAAGACUCCGCGAACAAAGCCCUUGGGAAAGAGAUCUCAUUCUUUGAAUUGAGUGCUAUGCAUUCACAAAAAAGAGAAAGGAAGAAGACUCCUAACCGUCCGAAGGACUAUUCAUCAUAUUUGAGAGGUUAAACUGGGGGUCUCACUUCAAGUUCGAGAUCUGACUCAUGGAGUGACUCAAAAAAGAUAACUUAGAAGAAUGCCAGCAUUUCGGAGUAGAUAUAUUUAUAGUAGUUCUAGCAAAAAAAUAGUUCACACCUGUCCUCCGGACUACGGAUAAAUCACCUGGACCUUUCUUUGGCCCUGCGGACUCCGGACUGCGGACUACGGACUUCUUCUUCUUUAAAAGGAAGGGUCCAGGUUUCAUAAGACUCCUUCUACGCGGUCUCGCAAUAUUCUUUUCACUGGGGGAGGCUCAAUGCAAUUUGAGUUGCGACUUUCACGAAAAACCCUGAUAAGUGAACCCAGGUCUCGCUACCAAACCAUCCCGUGUAGUGGGAUCGAGCCCCUUACGAGCACUGUCGCAGGGGAGUCGUUGGUUCCGCUUGCUCUUUCAGUACGAGGAUAGAGAAAGAAAGGCUCGCGAUAAGCCUUGGCUUUGAGAUGAGGCGAGGCGGAGUGGCUGAUCAGCUAGGGCAAUUCCCUUUCUUCAGUGCUUUGGCUCUUUCCUUAUUUUAUUGUGAAAUAAACUUAGCUGCCUAACGCCUUUCUGAAAAUCAAAGGAGAUUUCUUGGUCGAAACCAAAGCACUGAACUUAGUCGCGAAGAAGAAGCGAGACCCCUCCGGAGGAGAAGGAUAGGGGUUCAAAGAAUAUUGAAGCAAGGAGCAAAGAAUAUUGCGAGACCUCAGGAGUCUGAGAUCAAUGAAUGAGUGGAGUAUGAAAGAUCAGAGUGAAUAGGAGAGAGAGAAGAGAAAGAAAGGGCUUGUCCCCCACGGAGCAGGGGAAGUAACUGCAAGCUUUCUUUCCACCUUUGCCGAAUAGGGGUGGUUGCGGGCAUUGAAAGAAUGGGUUGGGGCCCUAGCUUCUUGAGGCAGUGCCAGUCGCAGUUCUCGUUCUUGAAGUUCUUCUUUCAACUCAUCCGCCUUUGGAGGUUAGCUAUAGCUAGGCCCAUAAUGAAUUAGACUAGAAGCAAGCUCGACCUCUGUAAUAGUACAAGCAGAAGAAAUCCAAAAACUCUACAUAUUAAGCUGUAAAAUCAAUAUAUAAGGAUCUUUGAGCUUAACUAAGGCGCAAAGAAUAUUGCGAAGGCUCAAUUUGAGGAGGAAAGAAUAUUGCGGAAAAGAAGAAAGGAGCGCAAGGCGCAAAGUUCGGUUAAUUACGGAAAGUCCGGAGGACAGAUAAAGAAAGGCUUUUGAUUUGACUUUUCCAACUCCGUUCCAGUUCGCCAAGGAGUGUGAGUCUUGAGCGGAGGCAUAAAAAGCCGAAUCAUAAAGACGGAGCACCACCCACUCUUUUUGAAAGGGAGAAAACGACUCAAAAAAAGAGGAGCAUCUCCAUGGGCGAGGACUCUUUGGACGGAGGACGAGGAUCAGAAAUCAAGAAAGCACUACGCGGGAAGAAUGGAUAUUGUCUUAGGAGCAGCGAGACCGCGGAAGGACGAGUCUUAUUCCACCAAGGACCACGACGGAGCAGCUCGCAUAUUGAAUUGGGCCUCCUCGAAUAUGAAUUCAUCCUAACAAAAAGAAGAAAUAUCCUCUCCGUUAGGCGCAAAGAAUUUGCGAAGGACUAUCCAUAUUAACCUGUGACGCCUUCUGACUAUUCAUCAUAUUUUUAAGAAAGCACUGGACUUUUCUUUCUCUUUGACAAUUGUAAAAGAAGGUGAAAUAUCCUUUAUAGGUCUGACCUUUCAAAGGUAAGAGGUCAAAGCAAAGCAAGCUUGCGAAGCAAGCGAGGCAAGAGCUUCUUUCAGCUUUUCCCGAACCAUUUGAACUCCAAUUUUUUCCUCUGCUGCUUUCAGCCCACUCCACUUCAUUGACCGAGACUUUCUAUUCGGUUAAAGACCUAGCCACGAGACCAACUCCUGUCUUCUGAGAUCAAUUCCCAGAUGCUUCGAGGCCGCAAGCUUCUUUAGUUUAGAGAAGGAGAUUUCUUCUGAAUCAGGGAAACUGCUCAACCGGAACUCUUCCCAUAGGCAUGAUUAUGCACUAGCAAGUUCCAAGAAGAGAAGUCAUAAGCCAAAGAUGUAUUCGAUCCUGAAUUUCAGGUAAUCUUGGCCGAUUGGUGGGCCCACGUAGGGCUUUGAUGAGCGAAAGAGCAUCCUCAACUCCCAGUCCCGGGUAAAGGUCAAGGUCUUUCAAAAGUCCAGAGAAGAAUUUUCAAUGGAAAGGAGUCAAGUUCAUCCGCAGGGAAGGCAAUCCAAUCGUCGGAAGAAGCGUCUUUCAAAAUCAAGCUCAUCCUCAUCAUUCAAGGCAUAUUUCAUUCCGCCUCAGUCCUAUCCAUAUUAACCCAGAGACUGUUAAGGAGUGCAACUGAUUAAUGGAAAAAAAUAGUCAUUUGAGAAAGAUUCUCUAGACAAAAACCUCCCUAGCUAGCUGCAAUCCAAACCUCACCUCUCCCAUGUUGGGAAUUCUCUUCUGCUCGUGGAUAUCUAAUGCUAGAAGUUCGAGCAAAUAUAAGGAAGCCGCAGGCUUAGGUUCGUCAUUUAUUGACGGAUUUUCCGGGCUUAAAUGACUUUCUUUUUCCUUCUACCAAUCCCAGUUCGGCUAAGACGAGGCAAUGUAUAUUGUUUUCAGUGGCACGAGCUUCUUCUUGUGAUGAGACUUUGGAUCAAUUGAACCGGGUCCAGGGGUUGACUCUAUGGCUAUUCCGCUUUUUCCGACAGCUGCUAACUCACUGGCACGCUUAAGGCCCUUGCGCCUGGUCUUUCAAAGCCUUGGGCUUGAGCAAGGUUCGAAUUCCGGGUUUUAUAUAUAUAUAAAAGGUGGGAGAACUCCGAGCAAUAUUCUUUCCUCCUUGCCUCUCUUUUCAAAUGCUCUUAAAUAAAGAGCGGUUACGCCAUCAACAGCGAAAUCGAUGGCACUCGCCUUCUUUCAGCAUUGAAUAAGUAACUUCCUUUCCCACCUCUCCCUUCCGCUGCUAAGCAGAAUAUAGCUCUUCUUCCUUUCCUCCCGGGUGAAGAAAAGCCUAUUCACCUUUGCUUUAAUGGCGAAGGACUCUUUCUGGUAUAAGGCGAUUCAAUCUUCUUUGAACCUAGUGAACAUCUUCUUUUGAUUGCUAAACUCUACUUGAGACUUUCCCUUUGAAUCCCUUCUAUCCUUCCCUCCUUACCUCUGUCUACAGAGCCCAUCUAAAUGCCUCAGCCUAAGACAUCUCAGUGGAAUGCCUCUAAUGAGCUCUUUCCGGCAGCAAGUCUCGGGUAUUCUAUCCUCCCAUACAUCCUUCCGACAAGGCAUGAAAUAGCAUAAGAUAAGGCUUCGCUACCUGACUUCUCAGCCAUUCUAUAAGCUAUAAGAAAAGUCAAGAGUAAUCAAAUCGAUAGUUAUUACGGAUCUCAUAUUCCUUAUUAACCUUGGCUACACCAUCAGUCAUUUCCUUUUUGACUACCCCAUAACCUUCUCUUGCUUGGUGUUCCAACCAAGCCGGCAUCCGAGCGGCCCACGGAGAAAAUGAGAAAAGGAAAGAGGAAAUUUCCCUUGAGCCACAGAAGAGAAGACAAAGGAUUAGCCUUUGACUAUGCUCAGGCUUCACACCAAGUCAAUCCUAUAUAUAUUCUUUGCACCUCUCCUUUCAUUCAAUAUUCUUUGAACCUUCUUCAUUGAGCGGAGGACUUAUCCUCUUAUUAGUUUCUUUCUAGUCUUUACAAUCAUCAAGACCUCCGGACCGAUCGGUCUAUAAUAUCCAAGCAAGAACAACGGACACUUCAACCGCAGUAGACCAUUUCCCAUAUGGUGGUCUUUCUUCACCCUUUGGAGGAUUGGAGGUCUUACUCCGCGCGCCCUUUUCUGUACGGGUACGUGCCCUUUAUCGUCUUUCUUUUCCGCCUAAGAUUCCUUGUUUAAUACGAGAAAUCUCAAAGUACAUUUUCAGCAAAAAAGACCCGAAGUAGGAAAUGCAGCAAGUUUUGUUGUCAAAUCAAUGGAUUUUCCUUCUUAUAGAAAUCUCGUUUUGUACAUAAAUUGCGUAAAGAGCUAUUUGAGCACUUAAACAUAGAAAGGGGAGAAUGGGUCGUCAGUUAGCAUUUGCUAAAGAAAUGCGCAAUCAACUCGUAUAGCCUACCCAACUUAAUAAAGAGACUCCGCUACUUCAGUGGAAGAGGUGGAAUUCGAUCCAGGCUGAUAGCUCCCCAGAUCCUGCAACAGACCUCGCAAUAUUCUUUGCACCCCAAAAAAAGUGUGAAAUCCGCUAAAGUGCUACUGCCUUCUGAGUUCUUGCUUCCCUUCCCACUCCUGUAAACUCUGUAAAGCCUAUUAUUUCCUUCUCCAACUCGGUAUUCGGUAUAUUGAAUAAGCGCUCGCCAGCACAGCACAUCCUCAAAGAGAAUUCCAAAAAGAAAGGUCCAGGGUCCGGAGUCCUACGUCCGCAGGAUUUAUCCUACGUCCGGAGGAUUUAUCCGUAGGACCAUCCAUAUGGAGGGAAGUAGGACUAUCCAUAUGGAAGUAGUCCGGAGUCCGCAGGAUUCUUAUCCGUAGGACUAUCCAUAUGGAAGUAGGACCAUCCGUAAUUAACCGAAGUAGUCCUCCGGACUUUCCGUAAUUAACCGAACUUUGCGCCUAGCCGAAGGACCUGUUCAAAGUCAAUCAAAGAAAAUCCGUUCAUUAACGAUAAUGAAAGAAGAAAAAAAGCAAAUUCAUCUGCUAGAUUUCAGACAUCUUUGCUUAAUGAAGACGGAGUGAAUUCCAUGAUUUUGCAAGGUUUUGCCCAUAGGAAGUAGCAAGAAAAGACAAAAAAUCAGUCAAAAUUGAUCUAUUUUCGUUAAAUAUCAAUAUGAGAAAAAGUAUGAAAAAGAAGCAAAAAAGCCGGGAAAUAGCAACUGGUCCAUUAUCAAAAUCUAGGUCAAAGAAAUUCUCAGUUCUAGUUUGAGUUUCUGGUCCGGAUACUGACGGGUCUAUUCUGGAUUCCGCUCCUCCGUUCUAAUGGCGCAAAGAAUAUUGCGGUCAUGAUUCCCAAGGCUAAUAUGGAUAGUCCUUGCACUCCGUCCUCUUGACUCGUUUUCUCUUCUUAGAUAAAUGCGCUUCUCAAUAUUCUUUGAGCUCUUUAUUCAAUGAUCUUUGAGCCUUAGUUAGGAUCAAUGAAAUUUGAUUGUUGAGAGAACGAAUUCUUCAGCUGCUUCAGUGAAUGCACCAAGGAGCUCCUAUUCUUCUGACUCUUCCAUCCUGCCGCUGAGCUCCUAGCCGGUCGUUCUAAUUCCUCCUCCGCGACUGGAUUACCGCUACGUGGGGUAUGCCGAACUUUCUUCUUCCCUCGUUCAGUUGAGCUGCUUCGUAUCCGUCUGUGUGAGCGGCUCGCACCUCGCCCUCUCGUGGCCUCGUAUUUUUCUCUUUUGAGGUUACGAACGGAUAAAGAAAAUGUGUCUGAGCGGAACGAUUUACUGAAUAUUCUAUGAUAUACGAAACUGUAUAAUGACCCAAUAGCAAGAUCCGUCAAACUCGUAGUAAAGCUGCUGAGCCCCUUCCCCUAGGCUUUCUUCUUAUGGUCGGCUUCCGAGGGGAGGGGUACGGUUCUCCUGAGUUUACUUAUUCAGGUAUACCAUUAAGAAUCAGACUGAUCAAGGCAGAGGAAGGGCCUCAAGCAAUAACUGAAAUCGGAACAUCACUCAAUAGUAGCAGCUUGGGCCCAUAGAGGAGGGUUGAUCUGGUAUGCUUUUCCUGCAUUUCUCUUUUUUUAGUGGUCUAAUCAAUAUAUAAAGAAUAGUCGCAAUAUUCGAGCAAUAUUCUUUGCGCCUACGCGGACGGGUCAAAGAGACUUGAGUUUUUUGAUGCUUUUUCGCAGCACUAACCAGGCGCUUAUUAGCCUAUUUCGGCCCCCUCUCAGUAGAACCUACUAAAAAGAUGAAAGCCUAUCUCCAACCCUUUCUUCUUCAACAUGGGAAAGAUCUCAUUCAAGAGGAAGUAAAGCAGCUUCCACUCGGGAUGCAGACUGAAAGCCGAGGCGCCCGUGGUCCUCAGUCUAGUUGAUAAUAGGAAGUCUUCCCCUAUCUCAAAAUCGAGCCCUCACUCUCGCACAAGACCCCUUUAUUUAUGGAUGUUCAUUGAGCCUCAUUCCGAUUUGACUGACUCUUAGGCACAGCUUCAAUGGCACAGCCACUCAUAGAUAGAGUUCAAUCGCUUCUCAAUAUUCUUUGAUCCUCGCAAUAUGCGCCUCCGGUCGGUCGCUCCGGCUAGUCUCUUCAAUAGGAGGUCCCACCUGGAUCCGCGAAUGAUUUACCUCCUUUUCAUCUCUUUAUGGGAGGGAAUGGAUGGACGGUUGAAGGAAGACCAUACCUUGGUAGAGUACGAGUACAUAACUCCAGAAAAAGAAGACGCCCACUCCGCGGUCCCAUAAGACAGGGAUAUUGAUGAGAGCGAUCUACUAAGAAGAAAAUCUACUGAAAGAAUGCUUUCAACCACUGCCACUGGUGCAAGCAAAAGAGAAAGGGAUGGUGGGGUUCGCUUCGGCUUCCUUCCAUUAGCCUCCCUCUGUACUUUCAUCCUAUAUAUUAGCCGACUGAUUUAUGGAACAUAGACCACUAGGCUUGAUCUUCUUCAAAGCCCUCCUUUUGAUAUUGAUAGGCUUGGAGUUGAUUCUUGUGUCUGACUGAACUUUCUGAAGGCAAAAACCAUAGAUUUGAGGCUUCUAUUCCCCAGUGGAGUCGCCAGCAGUAGGGCCCGCAUUUUCUUUGGCACCGCUUCCCACAUCAUCACUACUUUGGCCACAAAGCCCUAUCAAAAGAAAGAGGAGAAAAAGGGGUUUAGAGGCUUUUUUCUUCCUUUGAUUUUAGGCCGACGGACUCAAGAAUUUGACAUAGAGUCUACGAACCAUUGGUCCGGGUAAGGCCUUCCUUUCUAUAUUCCAGUAUAGUAGCGGGCCCUUAGCGCAGGCAAGAAAUCCAAAAAAAAUCAGUCUUCCAACACGAUUUUUCUUUAAGUAAUGGCCCCAAAGGCGGCUCAUUGAGCCGGUCAUCGGUUGCUAAGAGCCUUUCCUCACUUGAAAAAGCCACUUUUCUUACUGGGACGAAUAUUCGUUCACUGAAAUCGUCGGAUCGACCGGGCCAUAUUUCCUUUUCAUCGGUUGAUUACGCAGAAAAAAGGGAAGAAGGAGCGAGUUAAGGAGAGGAGGCGAGAUCUAAUAUGAGUUGAGAAGCGCAUUUCCUUAGUGGUCCUAAGCCCUUCCUUCCAUAUGGAUAGUCCGGAAGAUUCAUCUGUAGGACUGCGGACUCCGGACUCCGGACCACUACAAGGCGCAAAGAAUAUUGCUCAAAGCAAAGAAUAUUGCGUUAGAAAGGGGAUUAUCUGAAUCCAGAGGUCAGGAGAGAGAGGUAUGAUAAUAUGCUUUCCCAUAGGCCGAGCGGUUAGAAGGAUGCUGUGAAUCUCGAAGUAUUCUCCAAAGGAAAGUCUCAGUUGCCGAAGCUCUGUAGUAAAAGGAAAAUAACUCAUUGAUGUCUUCUCUUCUUAUGAAGGAGUAAUCAGUCUCCAUCAAAAGAGUAUGCAUAUUUGGGGGGCUGAUGUACUUGCCCGCUCGGCCUUCUUUCUUACCGAGAAGGGUGAAGAGCCAGUUGCGGAUGGAGAUUACCUAGCCUCAAGCAAUAAUGAAGAUAGGAAUAGGAUCGAAGGAGGAAUGAGUUACUUCACUCUUAGACGAGAGAGAGCUUUCCCAAGCACCGGAUCCGGGGAUGAAAGCUAUCCGUUUCGGAAGCAAGGGGGCUUCAAUUCGGUCGGGCUAGGUGCCCGCUGUAAGGAGAGGUUUCGAUAGGGUGCGCAGGUGAGAAUCCGAGUUUAGACCUCAGUGGAAAACUUCCCCAGUGGGAUAGGUCUUAAUAAGGAAAGAGAUUUUCUCUUCUUUACGGGAAAGGUUAUCUUUUCUCUUUAGGGUAGCUAGGCAGACUAGAGCUCGGAAUAUGCUCUCCAAAGUAGCUCAGUAGUCUUAGGAGUAGGAUAUGGAGUGGCUCUCGGGGCAGCGAGAGUGGAGUGGGACCAAGGACGAACUCCUUUAGUUGUAGAGUGGUAGAAGACGAAAGAUUCCAGGAAAUUCCUCUUCUUUUCUUUCAUUCCACUGCCAUUUUCGGAUUGAGUCUAUAAGUAAGACUGAUUUAGAUAUGGAUUUGAGAUUCUUCCAUUUCCCCGGUCUUUUUCUUCAUUUUUGGAUUCUCCUGCUUUUAUGAAAAAAAAUCUGAAUAUAAAUCAGUCCCACUAUUUAAGUCUUAUUCCACUAAAAGGCUGAAUUCAAUUUUCGUGACUCGACUCACAUAAAAUAAAGAGGGAUGGACACGCCUGAUACCAAAGUCGGGUGAGUAUGGUCUCUCUUUCGUGAAUCAGAAUUCAGGCUAGUAUGAAUCUCCUAGGAGAGAGGAUGUCUCAUCCGCUACAGUUACCGAUGAAGUGACCGCUGCCCACUGGUCUCGCUGGCCGGCCCAAACCCUAGGUUUUCUUCCUUUUAUCUUAUGCUUUACGAAGAGUUUCUUCUAACCACUGGUGGGAAACUGCCCUCUCUCGCAUUUCAUGGGUUCCUCCUCUCCCGCUACGUGGGGAGGUCAAAGAGGAAUUAAUCAGUCCUCCGCCUAAUUCAUAUGGGGAUCUGCUCAUUCAUAUGGAUCAAAAUCAGUCCCACUAUUUCAAAAGAAAUAUUCAUUGCGCCUCGUCUGAAGACCUUCCACUCGGCCGCUCUCUCUCUCUGUGAGGCUUGACUCAAGCGAAGAGAAGGCAGUCAACCCCGCAAUCAACUCAGUCUUCCCCAGCAGCCCGAGAUCUUCUUCCACUCCCUUGCUCCCUUUCGUACUUAUCUUUAUCUGUCUUCUUCUUCCCAUUUCAGAUGAUAAUGGCAGAGACUGAUUAUGAUACGGAAGAGCUACUCUCUGACGGGAAAGCUGCCAAGGCCUGUCGAUACUUCUGACUCUGGAUCCCUGACCUUUCUAACCUAACCCCCCUUCCGAUCCCUACUAACCCACGGGGCGGAAUCUGAGAAGAACAUCGAUCAGUCGCUUGCAGGAUUUCUGCCUUCUCUUCGCGAUCGGGAAAUCUUUUCUUCUCCUUUUCUAUCUCAUUAUCUCAUUCUUUACGAAAUGCCAUAAAUUCGAUUCUGAGGCCCGUCUAUAAAGUGAUUUUACGCACGUGCCCCAGGAAAAUGCUCAUUCAAAGCAAGGAUGGAUCUUCUUUCUGUAGUCCUUGCUGGAGCCCACUACGCGCUUGCCUAACCCUAGUUCUAGCUCCGAUCCUUAUCUUUCUUAGCAGAAAGCUCUUUCUCGCUCCUUGGAGAAUGCUCUUUCUGAUCCCGAGCCAAGGAUUCAUUCUCCUCCUUGUCAAUAUUCUUUGAACAAGGCUUCCGCUUAAAUCUUUGACUAUACUAGCGCUUUCGACUUGAUAGUGGAACCUUUUCUUUUAGGAGAUGAUGCACAAAUAGAGUUCUUGGUCUCGGGUAGAUAUGGUAGAACAGUGUCUCGUAGCAUUUAAGAAAAGAGAGAGCGCACUUCUCAAAUUCUUUGAGCCGUCCUCCGUCCUUAGUCGUUCUUUAUAUCCAUAUUAGCUUUUCGGCCAAGAUGACAUUCUUUCUUUUUCCAUGAAUGAGUCCGGAGGACUGGUCUCACCUCCCAAAAAUACCCAACCAAGGCAUCCCCUCUUCCUUCCUGUACGGAGUUCUCAUUCUUCUUCCCCAGCCGAUCGAUCCGGACCUGUCCUUUCCCUCUCGUCUUCCUCCACUCCUCCUUACUCCUUUUCAUGAGCUCCUGGGUUUCCAGCACUCUUCGAUUUCUCUUUUCUAAAAGAAAGAGAGUUUCUAGAUAAGCCUCGCCUUAGGAAUAAGGAUCUCAUUCCCGAUCUUUCUACUACUGGAAGAACUAAAGCAGCAAAAGCAAAUCAACUUCAACGGAUGCCUCAUCAGAACCUACUAAAGAAAGCCUACCGCAACAAAGAAAAGAGGUCAAGGAAAGCCUACCUUGAAAUGUGGUCUUCUCAUUCCACUCAAUCUUUCUGUCGAGCAAUCGUCUUCGCCCGAUCCGAAAGAUCUCAUUCCGCUCGAGCUAAGCGGUCCUUUUCUCGUAUCCGUCUCUUGAGCUGCUUCCUAUCCUUCCUUCUAUGGCUUCGCGGAGAUCCAAGGAGUUGUCUUUCUUGCUAUGGCCCCCGGCCGGACCCCUUCCACUCCUUUCCCCCCGGUCAUUCCAACCUUCACCAAGGCAUCCUUAAUCUCCAAUCCCGCAUCCUAAACCUACUGCGCUUGACUCAGUAUAUUGACUAACUACCCCCGAUACAGGAUAAUAGACUUCUUCCUCAAGAGGAAAUGAUAAGAGGCGAAUGGUCGAGCUUAUUCUAAGGUUCAAGAGAUCAUGCCCUAUCUUCAACCGUGGGCUUACUAAAUACUUGGCUUUUCUACCGCUACGUGGGUAUCCCGAGUUUGCAUGAGAAAGGGUUUAUUCCUCAACGCCUCUCCAAAUUCCCAUAGAAAGAGAGGUCUAUUCUUCUCAAUAUUCUUUGACCCUCCAGGUGAUUCAAUCAGAAUUCUUCUUUCAUUCGAGUGAAUGAGUUCAUUCUGCUUUCAUUCUCGUUAAUGAGCUUCUUUGAUUGACUUUUCACAGGCGCAAAGCAUAUUGCGUGUUUGCGUGUUUGCGUGACAAAGAAUAUUGCAAGAAUGCAGAAAGAAGAAGAAGAUCAGUGCUUACCCACUGGAAGACCAUUAUAAAGGACUUAUAUCUUUUCGUUAUCAACCACUAUUUAGAGCACUUGAUGACUGAAAUCUCUUAUACACUGUACUAAUCGCAGAGCUUGAUAAAUGACUAUUGAAUAUUGAGAAAGAUAUAUUGAAAAAGUCGUACAGAGUAUGAAAUUCUGAGAAGAAGAGGACUGGGCUUAACUUUCUCUGAUUAUUUCAUUCGCGGAGCUUUAUAAAGAAAGAGAAGUCGCAUGCACUAUCAUUAUUCAUAAAGCACUGAUCAAGGAAGGGCCCAAUAAAAAGGGACUGAUUUUUCCUCUUGUUUUGGGGGCUCGACUAAGAGAUGCGGUUACAGACGUGACCGUCUUCCUGUGCCAGUUGUGGAAGUUGCAGAAUUCGUUCUUGCUGGAUAAGUUUCUCUUCAGUCCCAAGGCAAUUAAUAUCAUUUUCCUUCCGGGGAUUCUUUUCCUUUCUAUGUCGAAAAGACUAUAUAAAAGAAUCAAUCCCGCCUCAGCAUGAAACCUCUAUUUUCUCCUUUCGGCUUCAGAGGCCAGUCUGAGGAGUUUCCCGGGCGCCUUAUAAAUAAAGAAGCCGAUCUCCAUCCACGGGUUUCUAGCAUAAAGGAUGGGGAAUGAAAGGCCUGUGAUCCCCGAUCCAGGUUCUACCUCUUAUAUGAUGCGUGGGGAGUCCUGUACGCUUAUUCAUCCCUUCCAUUAUACUUGUUCAUGAAAGAAAGAAAAUAUGGGAAUCUUUCCACUAGAUCUCGAAGAAAAAGAAGCCCCGCACCAAGGGCAAGAGGGAAAAGCCAGGGUCUAUCCUUUACUGGGGGUCACUCCGAUUCCUGUAUUGGUAUUGAGUCCUUGGGUUCAGUCUCCUUUCCUGCUAAUAAGAAAUUCAUCGAAAUCCUUUAUAACUUCUUCUUCUCAUCGACUACGUCUCCUUCGGAACCUGCGAAUCCGCGAUUCAUUCAUUAUUCUUUCUAAAUAAGAAGAUAUGAAGAACUGCUCAACCCCUCAGCCCCUUUGGUCCGGCUCUUCUCCGAUUGGAAAGAUCUGGUACGGAGUCUUCCCCGGCCCUGGACACUUGGAGUACUGAGUGGGAUUAUGAAUUUCAUAGUUCAUGGGGACUCAUUAAUUCGAUUUCUUUUAUUCAAGACGAGACUUAUCCAUUCGCUACCACCAGUACCAUAUUCCCUUCCAGGUGGUGGGGUUCCUUCAUUAAAGACCGGUAACUCCGAUCCCGUAGGCCUGAUCAAAGGUCAAUCUUGGGUUAAGACCGAUCCGAGAAGCGAGAAGAGAAAGAAAAAAAAGAGAAUGGUUUUAGUAAAGGAAGGGAACUCCUCUUGCCCCUUUGCGAACCAUCUCGAUCGGGUUCAGACAGAUAAAGAUCCCCACGUAGCGGGAAGAGGCCUCAAGGUGGAAUUCUACUCUGACAGGCGCGUAUUAUCUGGACCGCCCGUCUCAAAUUUCCCCUCGGUCAAUGAUAAGUACGAUUAGCAGAACGAAGGCAGAAAGGAUCGGAGCGGUCGGUGCCUAGGUUAUUCAAUCUACAGAAUGCAGAGUCAAGCGAGAAAGAAAGAGAACUAAACUAAGACGGGACUCGAGACGAGGCGAGAUCUAAGCGCGUAGUGGUCAAAUCUGAUUAUCAAUAUCAAGAGCGGAGACGGAGGUUACGAGAAAAAAGAGUAUUCAAGAUCAGAGACAGAGGUUCAAAGAAUAUUGACAAUGAACAAGGAUCAGAUAGAGAAAAUAAUUGCGGUCUUACUCAAUUCAAUCUCAUUUUUUUUUCUUGUGUGCGAUUAUUCAUUAUUUUGAUUCGAAUGACGGAGUACCUCUUUCAAGGUUAUCCCUAGGUCUGGACCUAGAUCAACUUAAGUGAAAUGGAAGGCAAUAUUCUUUCCUCCUCCUUCUGAACCAUUUGCUUUGUCAAACCCAUUAGAUUCGGGCUGCUCUUGGGAAGUAGAUUUAGGUAUGGGAAUUGAUCUAAGUUAGGGUCUUUCUGACUAAAGCUCAUCAACCCUAAUCUAAUUAAGACUUCGUCCUUUCGCUACGCUACGAGACCUCCGACUUAUUAGAGAAAGGUGAUACCAUCUCUGACUCCUUUCGGAUCCUUCUGCGCCUAUCGGUGAAUAUGUAUACUUGAGAAGGUUGAGAUGAUCUCUUGUAUACAAUGAAAUUAGGGAUGGAGAGUCAAAAAUGCCAGCUUGAAUGAGGAUACCCUGACUCCUCUUUGGUUUAUGACCCAGCUCUAUAGAAAUUGGUAACUUACUUCGUUCAGUCUGACUCUUGCUCUGAUUCUGCGGGUUCGGAAAGUCUCUUCCCUCUUCGCCUAUCGUCCCUUGACUUGAUUUGCCGCUGGGAUGUUUCAAAAAUCAAAGAAAGAAAGGUGCAAAGAUCUAUGGCCCCACUACGCGGGAUAUUGUGGGCUAUUCUAAACCAUCCCUUCUCGCUUUAUAUUUGACUUUCUCUCUCAAAUUCUUUGAGCCUCGCCUAGAUAAAAGAUCAUAAACUAAGAAAGGGAUGACCCUACUUCUCUUACGUACGUAACAAAGAACCUUUGACUCGACAGAAGAAGCGAAACUCUACUCGCAUAUUGCUCUCUAUUUAUAAAUAAACUUAGCUCAAGAAAAUUCCCAAGAAUAUCCCGUCCGAAGUCCUUCAUUCGAUCUUUCUUUCUCUGGGUCCUCCGUUUUAGAGUCCUACUUCGGUUAAUUACGGAUGGUCCUACUUCGGUUAAUUACGGAUGGUCCUACGGAUAAAUCCUCCGGACUACUUCCCUCCAUAUGGAUGGUCCUACUUCUAAUGGAUAGUCCUACGGAUAAGAAUCCUCCGGACUCCGGACGUAGGAUAAAUCCUGCGGACUGCGGACUCCGGACUACGGAUAAAUCCUCCGGACCUGUCUUAUGGAACCUUCGGUCUUAAUACUCCUAACUACGGGGUGAGGUGCAAAGAAUAUUGACAGUCUUUCUCUCUCGCAGCUGAGACUCGGCCCUUGCUUCCUGCCAAUGCAUUCUCAUACCAACUCCUAGAAGAUAUAGCAUAUUCUCUACCCACUACGCGGUAUUCUACCUGCGGAUAGCUGAUCUUCCCGCUCCGUGGGCUAAGUAGAAGAGGAAGAAGAGAAGACCAGAGACUUGGCCGCCGACAGAAAAGGGGUCCUUUCCUUCCGAUCCUGGGCCUGGUCCCUUUCGUCGAAAGUAAUAAGUCGAUAACCCUGAAAUGAAACUGAAACCUACACAGCAAGAACGACCUCAAUGAACAAGGGGCCCCAAGAGGACGUUGAAAGAAUGAAUCGCCGAAAUGAAAUAAUGCAUUAAUCUCCUCGCGAAUUAGACGCCCGACCAAAGGUUCUUUCAUCAUCAGCAUAUGUGGAUUCAGUCGGGACGUUUUUGAGGUUCUUUUGCACGAUCUCAAAACCCACUACGCGGCGCUUUCUUUACAUCUUUCGACCUUAAAGCCACUUAUCUCAUAACCUCACGAAUGAAAGAGCAUGCAGACUGGUUAGCAGCUUCAUACCGCCCCCUGGGAUGGGAAUACGAGACAGCGGACCACUCUCCUACUCUUUCUAUUCGCAUAACCGAUCUCCUUUCCAGUCGUAUUCAAACCUCUGCCUAUAUUGGGGAGGAUUCUAGACGCGGGAAGAAACCUAUCCAAAGCCUGAGAAUCUCGCAAUAUCAAUAUUCUGCUUUCGAGCAAUAUUCUUUGCGCCUUCUACGCGGUCGUCCUAAUCCCUUGUUCAUUGAGGUGAGGACCUUUGUUUUUGGAGGAGUUAUCUACCCUUUCUUUGCUUUGUUUAUGGAUCAAAAUCAGUCCUUAAAAUGAACCAAAAUCUUCUUCUCAACAAUAUCCCUGUCUUAUGGUAUGGAGCCUUCAAAAAAGUGGAAUAAGACUCCUAACGUCAGAAACAUUUACCUAUUUAUCUUUAUCAUGACUUUUUCUCAAUAUUCUUUUCUUUCUAUUAGCUCCAUUAAUCAGUCGCAAUAUUCUUUGCACCUUUCUUUCUCAGGAGCGGAAGCGUAGCGUAGCGGACAGCCUUAAAGCACUUGCUUUCAGCGUAGCAGAGCGGUGGGUUCGCUGGCUUCUCCCUUUCUUUUCCAGCGGAGCGGACAGGACACCUACCUUUCUUUUCUCUUUUCCAGAAAAUCGCUGCCUGAGCCCUUAAGAUUUUCAGCUACGCGUAGCGGUGCCUUCGCCCCUCUCCUUUCAGUCGAGCUUCUUCGCCCUGAUGUGAUGACUCUUUCCGUUGGUUCUUGCUGUUGGGCUCCGCCCCGUACACUGACUUCGUGUACUUACUCUGUACUUCUUAUACUUGACUUCUUGUACUUCUUGUUGUCGGGCUCCGCCCCUUAUACACUGACUUACCUCUUGUACUUACCUCUGAUUGUACUUCUUGUUUUGGGCUCCGCCCCGUAUACUUACCUCUUCUUGUUGUUGUUGGGCUCCGCCCCUCACACUUGUUCUUUCUUUCCUGCCUCUUCCACGCAAUAUUCUUUGCACCUCACACGCAACUCAUAUUGCAUUGAGCCUCUUGUUGCUGUUCUCAAAUUCUUUGCCCCUUAUACUUGCUCUUCUUCAACUUCUUGUUGUCGGGCUCCGCCCUCGCAAUAUUCUUUGCGCCUAGCCGUCACGGAUUGGUUUACGCCUAGACGGGAUAGAACGAAGAACGGAUCCGCUUUAGCCUAGAGGGAUAUUCGGAUAAGCGGAUCAGCCGAUCUUGCUGUUUUGACCUUCUUUGUUGCCUAGAAGGAAGAGACAAUUACAGAGGUGCAAAGAAUAUUGCGGUAAGAUAAGAAAGAGGGAGAUUAUGAAGAAAAGAAGCGGAUAAGCGGAUCAGCCGAUCUUGCUGUUUUGACCGCGUAGUGGGUUACGGAGAAGAAGGAAGGGUGAAGGGUGAAAGAGAGAGAAGAACUUCCGAAAGAGGUCUCGCAACCGCGUAGUGGGCAUUGACUGCAUAGCUGCUGAAUACCUAUCAUACUUGUCCGGCUUUUCAUUGUCGGCCAUAUCGAUCUGGCUGCCUUCUUGGGGCUUCGCCCUUCAAUAUUUUCAGCGGAGCGGAGUAGCAGAGCGGUGGGUUCGGGGGGCUUCGCCCGCGGAGGGGGUUUGAUCCAGGAGCGUAGCGUAGCCUUUAAAGAAGCACUUGAUCCCUUAUCAAAAAAUAGGAAGGAUCCAUAAGACAGGGAUAUUGUAAGAGAAAGGGAUAUUGUAAGAGAAAGGGAUAUUGUAAGAGAAAGGGAUAUUGUAAGAAUUUGUGGAUUCUUCUUAAUCAGUUCAUUAACGAGAAUGAAAGAAUAAUUCGGAUUGAAUAACCUGGAGGGAAAUCCAGAAUAGACCCGUAUUUCUCCGGACCAGAAACCAUAAGAAAACUCUGUUCAUUGAUUUUACCUGUCCUAGGAGUUCUUCUUUCAUUGCGUUUUCCCGGCUUUUUUGCUUCUAAAUAGGACUAAAUCAAAGAUUUCUAUUUAACGAAAAUAGAUCAAAAAUGACAGAUUUUUCAUGAUUUCUUGCUACUAUUUCUUUUCAGCUCUCCUUAUCAGUCGAGCCCAAAACCUAGCAUUUCCCUCCGCGGAUUCAUCUGAAAUCUAGCUCUGAAAUCUAGCAGAUUCAUAAUUCUUCUUUCAUUCUAGUUAUGAAAUCAUAAUGAUUCUUUCAUUCUCGUUAAUGAGCUUCUUUCUUUGCGCCUUUCUUUCUCCGUCCGAAGGACUAUCCAUAUUAAUCGCGGAAGCGGAGCGUAGCGGAAAGAGCCGCAAUAUUCUUUGCACCUUUGUUUGAUGUUUGAGAAAAGAAAAAUCGCAAGUCAAAUUCUCUAAUGGAUAGGCCUCUAAUUUAUCAUAGCGAAUAGUCCAAAAACAAAGGUCCAGAUGAAAAAUAGCAUUUUACCGACUCCUCCUACGCUAUAUACUCCUUCGGACGUCCUCUGGACUAUUCAUCCUAUUACUUCUUUGAUUUCAAGCUUCCGUCGGACUGAUUAAUGGAACUAAUAUUUACGGGAGGCUCAAAGAAUUUGAGAUCAUUCUUUCUCCCCUCCAAAAUAAUUGAGCCUCAGGCGCAAAGAAUAUUGCUCGAAGGAUCAAUGAAAUUUGAUGAUAAAGAUUAGACUGAACUUUGAACCUUGUUCAUUGUCAAUAUUCUUUGAACCUUACUAAGGAAAGAAUGAAAUAAUUACUCAAAUUGUAUCUUAGCUUUAGGCUAGUCCUAGCUUACUCAACGACGAAUACGACUCUUUCAGUGGAUAGCAGCAAGGGCCCGAUCCAACUCGCUUGUACCAGUCUGCCUCUACUUUCUUUUUCCGACACUGAAUUCUUCCUCUUAGCCUGAACCUAGGCUUUCCUUCCUCUCAUGAUAUAUUCCUGAGCAAUAUUCUUUGCGCCUCUCCCGCCUUCUAAUUGGAUCUGGACCUUUCUUUUUGGACUGAUUUUGAUCCAUAUGACUCCGGACUGAUUAAUGGAACUGAGUAUAUUCACCUUUUAUUUGCCGCCUUGAUUUUCUUCAUGGAUUCUUCAAAGAGUGGAAUCAUUGAUUUGUUAUUAGAUAUCUCUCUCUCCUAAUCCUCUCGAAACUGCACUCAUUCUGAUUCAACUUCGGUCGUUCUAAUGGAUUUCUCAAUCUGAAGCCUUUCUUCUUUUCUUAGAUAAAUGCGCUUCGCUUCGCGCAUCUGGACCCCUCCGGAGGAGCAAGGAAUAGUGCAGCGCAAAGUGCGGAUAACUUCAAAAAUCUUUGAGCCUUUAUUUAGGCCUUCGAAUAAGGAGGAGCUUACCUCUCAACGGAUGAGGUGCAGCCAACUACUUAUGAAAGAAAAGGACUGAUUUUCACAUACUUAUGUAUGAAAGGAGAACCGCUACGUUUUCCUUUUCAGGCGACUGCAACUGCCAAAACGGACCUCUUCGCGGCUUCCCUUGACGGAACGAAGAGCGGCCUUAUCCCCUGCCCUGAUCGCGAGACGUGUAUCCUGCACCGCGGAGUGGGAUGCCUAACCCAUUUAUGUCUUCGACCCGAAGCUUCUUUGUUUUGAAGCCAUGAUGGAAAAGAAAAACCUUUGAAUGUGGGUAGAAGGGAACCUCAAAUCCCUUGUUUCCCACUUUCAGUUACUUACUCAACUAACUCUUAAGGAAGAAAGGUCAGACGAUAAAGCAGACCCUAACAAGACUAUUAUUUAAGACUAUUGAGCCCACGGAGCGGGAAGAACUGAUGAACAUAAGGCCUAAUUUUGGGGGCGUCCUUAGUGGUCUAAGCCCACGUAGGGGGAAGAAAGAAAAGAGCUCCUAAUCUCUGGGUCCUCCGUUUUAGAGUCCUUCGGUUAAUUACGGAUGGUCCUACGGAUAAAUCCUCCGGACUACUUCCUUCCAUAUGGAUGGUCCUACGGAUAAAUCACCUGGACCUUUCUUUGGCCCUGCGGACGUAGGACGUAGGAUAAGAAUCCUGCGGACUCCGGACCACUAUUUAAUAUUGAAAGUAAUAGCUAUCGAUCAUUCUUUGAGCUAUAAAGCCAUUAAUCAGUCCUUCGCUCAAUGAAGAAGGUGAAAAGAAUAUUUCAUGAAGCUUACCUUCCCUUCUUCCUUUUGCAGUAAGCGCCUCAAUGAAGAAGGGCUAUUUCAUCCGGUGCUAUGGCCCUUCCCGCCCUUGAUGCUUUAUUCUCUUCAGCAAGUUAGGAUGCAAGAAAGAAGGAUGUGACUGAGAUUCUGAUUAGAUGACUUUGAAGGAAAAGUGGUACUUUCUCUUUGCUUCAAUCAUAAGAUGGUAACCCGCCCUAAGCAAGAUCGGUUCAGCAGGCCAAUUCACGCAUCUUCCGCAGCCCUAUAUGGAAAUGCUCGCCUUCGUCUUUUUUUCAUCCGGACUGAACGGUAAACUUGGGGUUCAGAUACAUCGUACCCCUAUGAUGAAAUCCGCCUAUUCCAUGGAUAAAGAAGUCCCACGUAGGAAAAAUGGUCGUUUUUGGAAGGCAAUAUUCUUCGCUCCUGCUAACCGUCCUCCGGACUAUCCGUAUGAACCUAGCCUUCGGACCAGUCCUCCGGCGCAAUUCAAUAUGCGACUUUGAACCUUUUUUUUCCUCUUUCUCUGAUGAGACUGAGUUCUCUUGUCGAUGUAGAGACUGAUGGGAAUAGGUCCAUACGAUGGAAUAGGGUCUCUUGUCAACCAGUGAGCUGUGAAGCGGCCUUCCUUCGCGACAAGUCAAUGAUUAGGACACCUUUCAGCGUCCAAUGAGUUCAGGGAAGGGGUUCAAGCCCUAAUCCAAAGUCUAUCUUCGCUAUAUCUUAACCUUAGCACUUCUCUGUACUAAGCUCUUUCACCCUGCUUUAGUAAAUGGCGCGUCUUUGAGUUCGUACUAUUACUCAGCAUGCAAGGUAUUGGUCUUUCGGGAAGAAAAUCAGGCUUGAAAGUCUUCUUUGGUGGGAGCCGUAGUUCGUAUCGUCUAUUGGCUCCCAAUUAUCAUUGCCUAUCCGCUCGAAGCCUUUAAGUAAAGGACUGGGGAAUUCCAUCAAUACUGAUCGUAGACAAUUGAGAUUAAGUGGGAAGAGUAGACUUGAAAGCGAGCGGGAAGAUGGCUGGGAGUAGCCUUUAAGAGUGCUGGUCUACCCCGAUUUUCCCAUUGAGAGGGAGGGAGCCACCCCUAUUCAAUUAGUAGAGCUCUAUUGAACCUUGGAAUUGGCCAAUCACCAAGGGCGAUCUUAGGUUAGCAUUCUCUUAGAAUAGAACGAACUCGAAAAAUCAGCGGUACGGCACAGCCGGGGAGAGCGAAGAAAGGUAGAGCACAACUAUCAUUUUCAGAAAGAAUCCCGCAUCCGAAAGAAGUAAUGCAAUUGCUUGACCCAAGAAGGUAAGGGAGAGGAAAGACCCCUACCGCUAACUUCUCUGGCCUAAUCUCCCAGAAGAAGAAGAAGAAGAUUUAGUGGUUUGAAAGUCAUAAGAGGCUCAAAGAAUGAUCGAAGGCGCAAAGAAUUUGCGAGCGACAGAUGACUGAGCAUCUGAAAAAAAGAGAAAUAGUUAUGACUUUAGAAACUUGUAAGAAAGAGAAGAUCGGCCUGGACAGAAGAGGAAAGAAGACUCCUUAUCGAGGAGAAAAGUCUAAAAAAGAUAUCAUACUCCAGCUCAUAAGCUCAUUCUUUUCUGCAAAUGAGGCGUCCGAAGGACCAAACCUUUUUGACCGCUACGCUCCUCUCCGCGGUGAUGAACCGAAAAUCUGAUAAUAGAUAGUCCGGAGGACGGCUCAAGACGAGCCGUCCGCUCCUUUUGAGUCUGAUUCCACUAAAAAAAAUGACGACGGAGCACUCGUCCUACGUAGCUUAAUAUGGGAGUCAGAAAUCCCGGGUUAAUAUGGAUAGUCAUCUGGACCUUGAUUUUUGGAGGCUCAAAGAAUCUCACGGAGGGGGAUAGUCCGGAGGACUGUUAAGGCUCAAUGUAAUAUGAGUGAAACCUAUUACUUUUCCAUAAUACUUUCAAUAAAAGUGGCAAUAAUGAAAGAUCAUGACUUCCUUCUUCUUCUUUCUGGGAGUCCGGAGGACCGGUCUUCUCUCAAAUUUCAUUGAGCCUAACUAUUCCUUGCUCCUCCAGAGGGAUCAUGACUCUCGCAAUAUUCUCAAAAUUGGAAGUGGAAUCUCACGUUCCCUAAUGGAUAGUCCUUCGGACCUGUCUUAUGGAGCAAAAAGAAAGAAUGUCAUCGUAAUCUCAUAUUUCAUUGACCGUUAGGCGCAAAGAAUAUAUUUAGAGUUUACAAAUUAGGAGAAAGUGCUGAAGAAUGAACUCAUUAACGAUAAUGAAAGAAGCUAAAAACAAAAUUCAUCCGCUAGAUUGAAGACGGAGUGAAAUACAUGAUUUUGCUAGUGAUAAGGAGUCCGCAGUCCGCAGUCCUACGUCCGCAGUCCGCAGGAUUUAUCCGUAGUCCGGAGUCCGCAGUCCGCAGGGCCAAAGAAAGGUCCAGGUGAUUUAUCCGUAGGACCAUCCAUAUGGAAGGAAGGAGGACUAUCCAUAUUCAGGAGCGGAAUCAAGAAUAGACCCGUCAGUAUCCGGACCAUAAACUCAAACUAGAACUGAUCCAUGUGAAUUUCUGGGAUAGGCUUGAUUCUUUCAUUGCGUUUUCCCGGCUUUUUUGCUUCUUUUUCAUACUUUUUCUCAUAUGGAUAUUCUACGAUAAUUGAGUGAAAAAGAAGGAAUUUUCAUGAUUUCUUGCUACUUUAUAGGCCCAAAACCUAGCAAAAUCUUGUAUUUCCCUCCGUCUGAAAUCUAGCAGAUUAAUCUUCAAUCUCCCUCUUUCUUUUGAAUUCCCAUUUUUUUCUUCUUUCAUUAUCGUUAAUGAGUUAAUUAUUCUUUUCUUUUCUUGACUUUUCACAGGCUCAAUGCAAUUUGAGCUUUCACCGCUACGCUACGCUGGAGCUACUCCGAAAGAAAGGUGCAAAGAAUAUUGCCGGACUACUGGGGGAUAUUGUUGAGAAAGAAUUAUCUUUGCGAAGGUUCAGCUUCAUUCCUAGGGCAUGUCCUCCGGACUAUUCGCUAUGAUAAAACCACUAAUACUCCGAAACCUCGAUCAUUCUUUGUCUUUGAACGCUUCUUUGUCAUUGAGUUCAUCUUUUCACCUUAUUCUUAGGCGAAGGCGCAAAGAAUAUUGAUAUUGCGGGAACUGAUUUUCAUAGCAAAGAUUCCACUAAUAGAUUUGCCGACGAAUGAAUAAUGAAUAAAGCUUGCCGAUCGAUCUUUAAAGAAAAGCCUCUCUUCAAAGAGAUUACGAGACAGAUUACCUAGCAGCCAAUUCCCUGUCUUCUCUCUCUUUCCAUAUGGAAUUCCCUUGGAGAAUAGACGAAGAGAUGUGAGAGCUUCCACGGAGAAAAAAGAUAAGCCUACUCCAUCCUCUCAAAUUCUUUGACCCAUCUUUUGUAUAGUUAUAGUAUAGCUUCCGGCUAGUUCACACCGAUAAAGGAGAAUAAGAGAUAGGGUCAAGCCUAUUCUACUCCGGAUAUGGUCUCGUAGUAAUCCCCUUCCCCUUUUCAGAUCUGAGGCCUCAUCUAAUUCCCCUCGUAACCCCUUCCGAUUCCUUUGGUAUUCUACGAGGAGCUUUGCUCCCUCGAGCAGCCUUUCUCCUCUAGGUCGAGUCGUAAACAAAGUAUAUUGCCUCUCUGGCCCGGCUCGAGCAGCUUAGUAAUCCCCUUCUCCAACCCUUUGCUUCUGAAAGAAAGAGAAAGAGAGAAUGAAAUCUCUCGCUGGACGGGUUAGCUGUGUCUAACCUUCCCCUUAGAGAUAUGAUAAGACCUCUACAACUCGGUCAGCUCAAACCAAAAUAAUAGCCGCAAUAUUCUUUGCGCCUGGACCUUUCUUUUUGCCGCUUAAUGUCUAAUCUUUCUCAAUCUUCUUUCUCACGCAUAUUUCAUUGCGCCUCCAAAGUCAAAUUCUCUAAUGGAUAGGCCUUCGAGCAAUAUUCUUUGCGCCUUCCAGUCUUGUCAACGCAUAUUGAAUUGCGCCUUCUAUAUAUUCUUUGCGCCGGAGUUAGGAGCUAUUCCACUAACGAGCCUUUGGCUUUCUUCUUUUCAUUCACAUUACCGCGUAGUGGGAUUCUUUGAGCCUUGUUCAUUGACUUUCUUCUCUAGUAAAGCUUUUUUUUUGUUCAUGCUUCGCUAGGCUUGAUCUUUUUAGUGGGAAUAUAUAGGAUGAAAGUAGCGGCAUAAUAAUAGAAAGGUGGAAUCCUUGCUUUAUCUCUUUUUUCAUCCUCCUUCCCUUUAUCCUUUUAUUCCCUUUAUCUAAGAAAGCUGAAAUCUCGUGAAUGGAUGAGGACUGAAUUCAAAGUUCAAAUAGGAGGCUCAAUCCCACGGAGGGGGAGUCCGCAAUAAUCAGCCUACGUCAGGCUUUCGGUGAUUCAUUCAUGGUGGAUAAGGAUCGGUUUUCAUAUGCACAAUGGUUGAAUACAAGGAACCUCGUUCAUGAGCUAGGUCGCGGGAUACCAUUUUCUCAUGAAAGAGCGGACACAAGACAAGAGCCGAAACUCUAUAAGAAAAUCAAGCUCCAGAUGAGUUGACGCUCGAACCCCACGAUCUUCCCCCCGACUGAAUCCGGCUAACCGAGCCAAUGAAGAGUGAUUAUAGCGCGUGGAGCAUUUUUUUUUCCUUCGUAGCUUCCCAAGAACUAAUGGGGAAGGCUGCAUGAAUAUAAAUGAGAAGUGGAAUCAUCCAUCCUCAACAAGGUCUGCAACCGCUUUCUUUCUCCCGCCUGGGUCGCUGCCUCCCUUUCUUUUAAUGGCACCAAGUCCGAGAUUCCCCGAUUACGCCAAGGAUUCCGCGCCCGGAUGGAUCCUUGAAAGGAGAGGCAAAGCCAAACCCGUAAACCGGCUUCAAACUUCCUGAAACCCGGGAAAAUGAGCCUGAGCAGGUCAGCACACUUUUCUACGAGGGAAAGGUUUCGGCCAGAUCAGUGGCAUCCGCUGAAAGGGCAGUUGCUAGCCCUCGUCUUCUUCUCAAUCGAAAGAUCGGAAAGCUCGAGAAUGAGAGAGUAUUUCCUAUUUCCUAGCGGAAUGAAGAUUUUCUAUAUGACUGUAGUGAAUAACUAAGAAAAGAUUCCAUGAAGACCAGGGAACCGCGGAGUGGGUCACGGGGCAGAGGCAUAGAGGUUAGAAAGCGCAAGACCAUACCGAAAAGAGACUGCAGGUGAAUCCGUCGGAGGAAGCCAGAUUAAGCAGAUAGGUAGAAGGGAAGGGUCAGAGCGCCGGAAGUCGGAGGAGGAGCUCUCUCUCGCUCUCCUUUCUUUCUUCUUUCAGUAGCCCUCGCUUUUCUUGCCAGCAUGCGGAUUCUUCUUCCUGGCAGCUAUCUCUCUUGCCUCAUCUUUAGCUUAAUUCAAUUAACCUACUAUAUCAAGGAUGAAAAGGCUUAAGGAUUGGAUGUCCCAUCCCAUUCUCUUAAAGACAGUGACUUCCACCCAUGAGAAAAUAGUCCUAAUAGGGGGGACGUCCCUCUUUCAUUAUCAGCUAGGAAGCAUGGCUCUCCUAACUCAAUUCAAUCUUCUUUGAACCUCCCGUACGCCCACUCGACGUCCUCCACCAGGAGCACUAUUAUCAUAAGCAAGAGAGUCCGAGGUCCCUUUCGGCAGUUGCAGCUUGCUUCGGGCUCGCUUUCUUCUUUUUCUCAAAAUUAGUUGAUUGCUAAGGCCUUUCUUCAAAAUUUCCAUGUCCCAAGAAAAAUGUGAAGACGGACGGAGACGUGAUCCCAUUCAAUCCUCGGACAGGAGGAUGGAGUGUGAAACCUCUUUCCUAACCUCGUCCUUUCGCACAAAGGCUUGAAUCCACGUAAAUUGCGAGAAGAGGUGGCCUAUUUCCUUAUUGCCUUUUCUUGUAAUAAAUCGCCAACAAUAUCCCUUAUGGAGCCUACAAUUGAGUGAUUUUUCUAUCUAUUUUCCUUGGUCUAAUCUGAACCUCUUUUAGUAGUUUCGCUCGAGCGUGAACCUCAACCGGCGGACGACCCUCUUUCAUUAUCAGCUAGGGCGAGAGUCCUACUCGAAGUUACUAAGUUACGUGAUAGAACUCAUUUCUUUAAGAGUACAAAUCAGUCUUUAUUAAGAGAAGAUGGGACUUCGACCAGUUAGUUCUCAGCCUUUCCUUUCUAUUUUGGGUCCGAUCUCAAGAUAACUUCCGCCUCUGAUUAAAGGACGAAGUUGUCUUCCUUGUCUAAGUCAUCUCUCAACAAAUCAAUAUCCCCUAUCCAUAGAUCUUUGCGCCUUCUAUAUAUUCUUUGCGCCUCCUUCUCCAUCCCUAUUUCUUUAUUUAUGGAUGUUCAUUGAGGCGUCUUGACCCCUUAUUUAGCAGAUAAAUGCGCUUCGCUGAUGAUCUCAACUUCUAUCACUUUUUUAUGGAUUCCUUGCUUCUAACCAACUCAAGAACAAGAGGUGAAAAGUCGCAUAUUUCAUUGCGCCUCCGGACCGGUCCCUAGGCUUUCUUCUUCUUUUGGAGCCUCAGUCAGACAAAAGAUUACCCGCCCCAAAGUCGAGGCCAAAGGCCCACGUAGCGGUAAUUUGAAUAAGGAAGUUUCAGACCCACUCAAGCGAAACUAGGAAAGAAGCGAUAUGGCCCCUGGUCUUGAGGGCAGGGACUUUUCCUACGAUACCAGGCGAGACUAAGCAGAAAUAGGAAGUGGAAGUCAUUCUUUAUCCAAGCCAACCGCUUUCAAGCCCCUCUCCGCUGGAUCUGUCCUUUGAGACGACUAUGCCCUACUAGUUUACUUAGUCCCUUCCCUUGUGUGCCAUCCGGAACUGCUAUCCCUUAAGGUUUUUAGCUGCUAUCCCGCCUGGGAAUCUACUGCUACCUACUCCAAUAUAAGGCUUGGGUGAAUGAUUGGAUCCCGACAUAAGUACUCUAUCCACUCCUUCUUCUUCUUAGUCUUUGACUUCAGCUUCUUACCUGGAUUCUGCUUAUUCUGCUUCACGAAAAUGAAAGCCCAGUGAGGAAGUACUUGAAAAAUGCAAUUUUCCAGCUCUUAGAAAAGUCAGAAUUCUAAUGUGAACCACUUCCUAAUCUUUGUCUUGAGUUAGUGCUUUUGAGAUUGAUGAAAGGAAAGCUUUUCGGGAGCUAGCAGUCCUUCUUCUUUGCGAAAGAGAGUAGCUCAAGCAAGUCAAUUUCCCUUAAAGAAGAUAAUGAACUAAGAGCUUUUCUGCGCUACAAAGAAGAAAGGAUAGAGAUAGAUAGUUGAAUAAGCUAGACCGCUGCAGGUGCAAAGAAUAUUGCGAAUAAGAAGAUAUUAAGAAGAUCUUCCUUCUGUGACAUUUAGCCCGAAGAAAAUCAGCCUAUUCUAUACCAGCUUCUUCUAUAGAUGAGAUAACUGGAUCAGAUGAAAUAGCAAGGGAUAUGAGCAGCUCAAGCAGCAGAUUCUAUUCUGGGCAUGAAUGUGCAACCUAUCGAAAGAAAGAGUCCUCUACUUCCCACCGUGGCAGCUAAAGUCCUUCUCAAUAUUCUUUGAGCCUCGGUCGAAACUUUCCCCUUUCUUCCUUCAACCACGUAGUGGGGUCGAUCCGAUACCUCCCUGUGGAAAUACAAGGGCGGGCUAGUCUCAUUCCGAAAGAUAGAAGAGAGAUUGCACCCCUUUUGAUUUGAUGAAAUUACAUGCUCUCCGAACUCCUCUCGUGCCUAUCGCUGUCUCUGAAUAAGUAGCCCUGCACCCAUCUUUCCUCCGCACGCACCUGCACCCUACCUCUCUUUACCUCGCCCUGGCUAACUCCUUUCCCAGUCUUCUUUCUAUAUUAUAUAACCUCUUGACUUCCUUCUUUUAUUCAAAUGCAUCCGUUAGUGGGUCAAGCUGCUUUCGCUCCUUCUCCUUACAGUCGGAAAUCUUAGCAAUAUUCUUUGCGCCUCAAAAUCAACUCGGAAAUCUCUCAAAUUGCAUUGAGCCUCAAUUCAAUCUUCUUUGAACCUCGUGCCUCUCUCUUGGACUGGGUUGUGCUAUGGCUUGAAUCUCGCAUAGGGCGAAAUUUGCACAUUCGAACUAAGAUAAGAACAAGGGGUUUGGCUGAAUUCUAAUGGUUCAUUCUCAUUCAUGAAAGAAAGCAAGGGUAAUUAUCCUGAAAAGAAGGAAAAAGGACGCGUAGGAGGAGGCUCCAUAAGACAGGGAUAUUGUAAGCCGAUAUUGCUGUUUUUACCUGAAUUACGAAGUGAAAGAAGCCGAUCUUGCUCUUUUGACCUCAUUUGGCUCUAGGAUAAAAUCACACAAUUACGGAGUGAAAAAAAGAAAGAUUAUACUUGCUUUCUCAAAUUCUUUGAGCAUCGACCGCCUUGAUUUUCUUCUUUUAUGAGGCACAAAAAGAAAGAAUGUCAUCGCAUAUUUCAUUGCACCGCGGAGUGGGUUCCAUUCUUCCCGCUCCCUUCUCGUACGCCUAAGACAAUAUCCAUUCUUCCCGCGUAGUGCUUUCUUUAUUUCUAGUCCUCCGUCCAAACAAACCGAGCACCUUUCGCUCUUUCGCAAUAUUCUUUGCUCCUACCGGUCCUCAGUCCUAUCCAUUAGAGAAUUUGAUGAGGAGGAGAGAAAAUCUUCUUUUCACCUUUCUAGUCGGACUAGAAAUCCAUUAUUUUGCACUUCUUUAUCAAGCUUAAUCUGUGGACUUGAUUUAUGGGGUGAUGAGACAUGCCCUUGUCGAGCUUCGAUAAUUCUUGAGAAUAUGAAUUCACCGCUCCUCUUGAGGCUGAAUGAAUAUGAAUAUGAGAAAGAAUUUGAUGUUUUUCUUUCUCACGCAAUAUGCUUUGCGCCAUCAAAGAAAGGUC
rnacentral:lncRNA from 1 species